UUAUUUUCUGGCAAUUUCUUCCACUCUCAUCCCUGAGUUGAAGCACUCAGCUUUCUGGCCACCUCUGCAUUUGUUACAGGAUGGAAAGUCUUGACAACAGUUCAACUUGGAGCACCCGCUAUAUGCCCCACGCUGUGACAGACUCUCAGGGGACACCAAGGGAAGUAAGGCCCAGCUCCCGCGUCAAAGAGCUGACCAUCAACUGGCGGGGAUUAGACAAUGAGAGAAGUCCAAGCUAAAGAAAGUGCCACAGGAGAAACACCAGGCGCUUGAGGUUUCAAAGGAGGGAAGGGAUAUAUCAGGUUGGAGAUACUAACAAAAGACUUUAUUCAUUCAUCCAUGUAUA
rnacentral:lncRNA from 1 species